GGAAAAGGACAAAUCAUUUGCAGGACAAAGUGUGUCUUACAUCUCUCCGGAGGAAGGCUCCUCUGAAAGGCACUGUUUGUGACCCCCUGUGACAGUUGUCUUGGUAUACAAGGAAAAUAAAACAUGUCUAGUAAGAAAGAUGAAACAAAGAAAGAGUUGGGAUGUCGAGAAACUGCAAUUCCUAUUAAGAACACUUGACUGUUUACUCAGCACGAGAACGUCAGCCCCAGCCUGCAUCAAUCUAAAUGCGUUUCGAGACGUCAGGCCCCCGAAAAGUGCAGACGGGGAAGCAAACUGAGUGUGGUGGAAAGAACACAAACUUUAGAAUCAGCUGUCAAAGGAAAUAAGGAAGCUGACCCUGAAGAAAUAAUGGGGGCUAAGUGGGAGCGUGUACAUAGAAGCCCUCACUAGAGGAGUUGACUCUCCAG